UACGUAGGGCGCAAGCGUUGUCCGGAAUUAUUGGGCGUAAAGAGCUCGUAGGCGGCCAGUUGCGUCUGCUGUGAAAUCCCGGGGCUCAACCCCGGGCGUGCAGUGGAUACGGGCUGGCUAGAGGCAGGCAGGGGAGAACGGAAUUCCCGGUGUAGUGGUGAAAUGCGUAGAUAUCGGGAGGAAUACCAGUGGCGAAGGCGGCUUCCUGGCCUGUUCUUGACGCUGAGGCGCGAAAGCUAGGGUAGCAAACGGG
rnacentral:rRNA from 1 species